CGGAGGGGGCGAGCGAGACCCCGAGCGGAGAGAAAGGCCCGCGGAGACAGACCGAGAGCGAGCGCGGCCGGCCGGGCGGGCCUGACGCACGGGGAAGGCCGAGGCGGCCGGGCGGGGCGGCCGCGAGGGACGGAGGCAGGAGACGGGCAGAGCGAGGGGAAGAAAGAAAGGGCGUCCGCCCGCCCGGGGAUCCCGAGGCGAAGCGCGGCGUCGGCGGGUGAGGAGACAGACUCCGGGCCCGCCGACUCCCGAGCGGCGUCUCCGGCGGCGGGGGGAGUGGGCGGGCGGGCGGGCGGGCGAGGAAGGGAGAAGGAGGAGAAGAGAGGGAGAGAAGGGAGGGAGGGAGCGGGGGGCGCCCGGCUCUCUCUUUUUUUUCCUCUUCCUCCCCCCACACCCCCUGAAAGAGAUUUCUGUGAGGAAUUUUUCUCUCUUUCUUCGGCCUCUUCUCUCUCCUCCCCCCCUUCUCUCCUCGGCGAAGGGGAAAUGAGUGUGAAGGGAGGAGAUAGAGGGAAAAAGAGGCGUCGUCGUUCCUCCUCCUUAAAGGAACCUUUCCUCCUCCUCCUCCUCCUCCUCCUCCUCAACCCCGUCGCCGCUGCUUCUGCUGCUGCUCCGUGGCAGGAGGAGCCAUUGACACCGCCGGAGCCUCCACUCGCCCAGAAGGCCUUCCAGUGCACCACUGCUGCCCCACCGCCCACCCCAAGACACACGCCACUGGCUGAUUAAG
rnacentral:lncRNA from 1 species